AUUGAACGCUGGCGGCAGGCCUAACACAUGCAAGUCGAACGAGUGGCGGACGGGUGAGUAAUGUCUGGAACACUGCCCGAUGGUGGGGGAUAACUACUGGAAACGGUAGCUAAUACCGCAUACCAUCGGAUGUGCCCAGAUGGGUUUGGGUAGUAGGUGGGGUGACGGCUCGCCUAGGCGACGAGCCCUAGCUGGGCUGUGAGGAUGACCAGCCACACUGGAACAGGGGCACGGUCCAGACUCCUACGGGAGGCAGCGGUGGGGAAUAUUGCGCAAUGGGCGCAAGCCUGAUGCAGCCAUGCCGCGUGUAUGAAGAGGGCCUUCGGGUUGUAAAGUACUUUCAGCGAGGAGGCGUUACUCGCAGAAGAAGCGCCGGCUAACUCCGUGCCAGCAGCCGCGGUAAUAC
rnacentral:rRNA from 1 species